rnacentral:misc_RNA from 1 species
GAUGAAGAACGCAGCGAAAUGCGAUAAGUAAUGUGAAUUGCAGAAUUCAGUGAAUCAUCGAAUCUUUGAACGCACAUUGCGCCCGCCAGUAUUCUGGCGGGCAUGCCUGUUCGAGCGUCAUUUCAACCAUCAAGCCCCAGGCUUGUGUUGGGGACCUGCGGCUGCCGCAGGCCCUGAAAACCAGUGGCGGGCUCGCUGUCACACCGGGCGUAGUAGAUUUUAUCUCGCUCAGGGCGUGCUGCGGGUUCCGGCCGUUAAAACGCCUUUUUUACCCAAGGUUGACCUCGGAUCAGGUAGGAAGACCCGCUGAACUUAAGCAUAUCAAUAAGCGGAGGA